CUUUUCCUGCCUUGCGGACUUCAGUCAAUACUUUUCCCCGGGAGAGUUUAUGUUUUCAUCUAUGUUAGGAGAGAUUGAGUUUCCUGAAUCCUAAGGGAAACCAGACACGGGAAGAGUCGGUGAAACCCUCCACACACCUUCUUCAGGAUAUU